GCAGGAGGAUAGUCUAGUGGGCUAGGGUGUUCGUCUCCCCACCGAAAGGUACUGGGUUCGAGCCCCAAUGUCUGCA